GGAGCCGGCCGGGCGGCCGCGGUCGGCCUUCGGGCCGGUCGAGGAAAGUCCGGGCUCCGCAGGGCAGGGUGCUGGGGAAACCCAGGCGGGGGUGACCUCGCGGAAAGCGCCACAGAGAACAGACCGCCCGCGCGAGCGGGCAAGGGUGAAACGGUGAGGUAAGAGCUCACCAGCGGAUCGGGUGACCGGUCCGGCUCGGCAAGCCCCACCCGGAGCAAGGCCAAGCAGGGAGCGCUCGAGGGUGGCCCGCCCGAGCUCCCGGGUAGGCCGCACGUGCCGCGUCCCUCGGGACGCGCCGGGGCGCCGACGCGACCUCGGUCGCGGGCGCUCAGAGAGAUGGCCGCCGCCGGCCCGAGAGGGCCGGUACAGAACCCGGCUUACAGGCCGACUCCUCCG
rnacentral:RNase_P_RNA from 1 species